rnacentral:misc_RNA from 1 species
GAAACUUUAUUUUUACCAGGUAUGUUGCAGGUGGUCUGUUUUUCCUAUUUGUGAUAUGCGUACGCUAGUUUCUUUGUUUACUGGACAUUCAGCCAUAUAUUGUGCCGUGUGCUUUUUUUUCCUUUCCUUUUGUUUAAUUUCAGAGUUUUUCCCGACUUUGUUAAUUUGUGCCCUUUUCUGAACUUAUAACUAACAGAUUUGUAGAGCUCUUGCAUA